UGAAGAUGCGGAGUACCCGCGGUCAGACGGAAAGACCCUAUGAACCUUUACUGCAGCUUUGCAGUGGCAUCAGGGGAGCACUGUGUAGGAUAGGUGGGAGGCUAUGAAGCUGGGGCGCUAGCCCUGGUGGAGCCGUCCUUGAAAUACCACCCUGGGCGCUUCUGAUGUCUAACCGCGACCGGUCAGCCCGGUCCGGGACCCUGCAUGGUGGGCAGUUUGACUGGGGCGGUCGCCUCCCAAAAUGUAACGGAGGC
rnacentral:rRNA from 1 species